UACGGGGGGGGCAAGCGUUGUUCGGAAUUACUGGGCGUAAAGGGCGCGUAGGCGGCCUUCUAAGUCGAACGUGAAAUCCCUCGGCUCAACCGGGGAACUGCGUCUGAUACUGGGUGGCUUGAAUCCGGGAGAGGGAUGCGGAAUUCCAGGUGUAGCGGUGAAAUGCGUAGAUAUCUGGAGGAACACCGGUGGCGAAGGCGGCAUCCUGGACCGGCAUUGACGCUGAGGCGCGAAAGCCAGGGGAGCAAACGGG
rnacentral:rRNA from 1 species